rnacentral:rRNA from 1 species
UACGUAGGGUGCGAGCGUUGUCCGGAAUUAUUGGGCGUAAAGGGCUCGUAGGCGGUUUGUCGCGUCGGGAGUGAAAACCAGGUGCUUAACACCUGGCUUGCUUUCGAUACGGGCAGACUAGAGGUAUUCAGGGGAGAACGGAAUUCCUGGUGUAGCGGUGAAAUGCGCAGAUAUCAGGAGGAACACCAGUGGCGAAGGCGGCACUCUGGGCCGGUACUGACGCUGAGGAGCGAAAGCGUGGGGAGCGAACAGG